CUUCCUCAGUUCCUCCCCAAUCCCAUCGUUGCUUCUUCCUCCCCAAUCCCCACCGAUGGGGUCAAAAAAAAAAAAAUCUCCAGCUCACAUCCUCCGCCCAGGAGCGGGCGGCUCCUCCCCCUCCCAGACCGAGUUCCUCUGCCGUCGGUGGCCGUGGGUGGCUUGCUGCCUGCAGCUCCUCAUGAAAGCUUCUCCUCUCCCGGGCCGCCCUGCUGCCUCCCGAUGGGGCCAUCGACGCGCGUGGCGGCGCGGUGGACGAGCCCGAGGCUUGAUGGCGGCGCGGUGGACGAGCCCGAGGCUUGAUGGCGGAACUCCUCUGUGGAGGCCUUCCGACACCUCCAGCCAAGUCCCCUGCGUCGACGCCAGCAGAGCCCACCUCCUCCAUGCCAGGUCCACAGCACCGUCGCUGCUCUGCGUUGUCUUCAAGGUCACGCGCCGCCUGGAAUGCCCUCGGCAUGGAGGUACUCCACUACUACCCCGCGAGGCCUCAGGAGGGAGUCGGGGUGGAGGCGAUGCCGUCGGCAUGGAGGCAGGAUGACAAGCAGGGAGAGGCUAGGAUGGAGACAACCACGUCGACCACAAUUCCAGCGGCUACGCGGGUCUGUACGCAGGGAGGAUUUUGAUCUUCGCCGGUGCGUCCUCGGCUCCUCGGCUCCACGGCUACCACCAGACGGGUACUCUGGCCACCUGCACGACUUUGACUCCGCUACCAGAUUUGAGCGGUUAAAGGAGUGCGGGGGGUUCAGGUUGAGCACCACCAUGGCAACCCUGCUGGCUUACUCGGUGAUUCUAUUCAUGCUCAACAAGGAAAGGAGACUCCAGGUCCUGAGACGCUUUUGCUGCAGAGAUCGUUCGUUAUACCUAGAAGACAAAGGAAUUGGAACUUUUUUUUGGAUGUCCGCCUGCUAUUAGUAAGUGGCACCCCUGAAAAUAAAUUGGUCGGUUGUUUCUUUGCUUAUCUAAAAAGUAACAAUUCGGAUUCAGGUACAAGUCUUCUAUUGUAUCAAGCAGAUGCAGACAGGACAAACAAUUUCAGGUCACUUCCUUGCAAAGUUUUUGCUUACAAUUAGUGUUAACAUUUUUUGCUACCUAGAUACUUUCAUUAUGAAACCCCUUUCUUACAAUGCCCUGUUUGUAAACAUUAAGUUUUCUAUUUCCAACAAUACUCUGGCCUCUUGGCCUACCUUUGCCUGAUAUUGCUUCUUCACAUGUUCUCAUGGGUUCUUCAUUGGUUGUGCAUGUGUUGUCGGGGGGUGGAAGCACGAAGAGGAGAGAUCUGUUUGCGCAAGCUGCCGGUCGACAAUGUGCUUCAUGGUCGCACUGUCAGGUAUUAUAAGUCUCCCUCAACUUUGUUUCUCCAGAAAAUAUACAAGAGUGUAUCAGGCUAAAGGGCAUAGAGUGAAUAAAGAGAAGCUAGAGAUUGCAGGCUUCAGACCUGAUGGUUGCAUUUUACUACUUAUAAAGUUUGCUUGGACUGAGUGAUGUUAAGUUUUGGGGUGACCAAAAAAUCUCAAUCAAAAAAAGUUCUUUUUUACACUAUUUUCUUAUAUUGUCUAGAUAAACUGGCCUAACUUUGCGGAAGAAAUUGCUUCCUCUUCAUCUGUUGGUCUAGGUUCUCUUUCUGAUGCAGAAACUCGGGGGCGUGAGCUUUCAUUGGGAAAGAGGCUGGUUGUUGAUACAUCUCAUGGUCAUGCUGAUUUCGGUAGCAUUGGAAUAUAUUCCUGAGCUCAUGUUUCUCAUGGGUUAUUUGCUGUACAGGCUGCCGGUCUGCCGAUUCAGUGAACAGUCUUCUCAUCGUUCUCCUGAUUUCCUAUUGACUUUGGUGAUUGAGUUUUUCGUGUCUGAUGAUGCCUGGCUGUAAGGUUUUUUACUCAGGAAGAACUAUCUGAGGUGGUGCGAAUUUUAUGAGGCAAUGAAGACAGGCCCAAAAGCUAGAGAAUUAUAUUGCUUGAAUCUGAGAUAACCACGCUAUCAAAGAUAUCACUGACAACUAGAUUUUGAUUCUCCCCAGUUUUCCUUAUGAUAAUUGGACUUGCUUUUUUGGUAGAAAUCCUUCUAGAGCCGACUCAUUCAAAAAUGAUAGGCACUGUUGCUCUCACAUAUUAUUUUUCUAGAUGUCAUGAAGGAUUAUCAGACUGUAUGGAACUGAACUGUUUACUUCUAUUUGGAAUUGGGCCUUCAGUCUAGGUUGGCCUCUGUGUACAAAUCAUAAUAGUACCGGAAGCCAUUCCUCGGUUGCUACCACUCUUUUCGUUACACUUACACAUGUUUAUGUCCUACCCUCAUACCCUGUACUUACACUUUAUGCCAUUCAUAACUGCUUGGCUAUUAGCUAAAUAAAUAUGAAUAUUUGUAUAGCACAGAUCAUGAUAUUUCUUUAUAAUAUUACUAAAUAUCUCAUUUGCAUCAUUUGGCAGAUUAAGUGAUAAAUAACGUUGGCAUGUACGUCUCCUUUUGGGUCAUUUUUACCAUUGCUAAAUGCUCAAGCUUUUAGAUUUUCUCCUUACUUUGGGCUGCAACAAGAUCCACUGCUAGCUUCUCAACUAAGAAUAGAAUGGGUACAAUGAAGCAUGUGCACGGCGUGCAGAGUUCUGUCUUGAUCGGGAUUGACGCCCAACACUCACCAGAAGUCUUGGUGGGAUAAUGUUCUAGAUGAGGAUAGGGGGCGAGAACUGAAUUGAUGAUUGACGUUUGCACUACAGACCAGAACUUACAUUACCGGUGCAUAUCUCAAACAAAUUGACUGCUCGGUUCAUAUACCUUUACCAUGAGACACCAGAGGAAAUCGUUGCCCUUUUCUCCAUCGACUCCAUCGAUAAAAACGACAACGCUAAUCACUGAAGGCCCCAAAGCAGACCAAUAACCAGCCAUUUUACUUUCAUCCAAGCUCAUCUCACGACAUUGUCUCAAUCAAUGUCAUCUCACGGACGCGGCGUGCCGCCGCGCUGCAACUUCCUAGUAGCAUGCAAUGGGCACAGGCCAUUGCCGUUUAACGACCUCCACUCGAGGGGAAGCGGUUCCUAAGCAGCUGCUUGUGUCGUUGUUUUUUCUUUCGGUGACUCUGGAUCUUGUAUGAUUGUGUUGCUUAUAAAGCAGAGCGAAAGCCUACCAUUAUAUUAUAGUCUAUAUAAA